UAGGUCUCCUACGCUUGAACUAUGUCCGGUGAGGCACACAGUCUCUUCCGCUGCCUGCUGAUCAAGAUGUUGAACUCUCAUCUCCUUCUCUGGUAGCAUGUCUGUCUGCUUGCCAGCUGCGUGCUUCCCACCAUGACGACAGUGGACAAAACCUUUGAAACUAUGGGUGAUUCUUGGCAUCUGGCAAAGAUGGAGAUUAAUGAAGCAGAGUUCAGGGGGGAAAGAAAUUCACCAUUCCAAAAGGAAAAUAGGAAUUUAUCUCUUUGGCUUUGGAUUGCUAUUGUGAAAAGACCCGUCUUCAUCUUCCGGGGAUGGAUGCUAGCCAGCCAGCCACAGCUGUGAAAGUUCUGGAAGGCAUCUGUCCCUGGCAAACUCUCAGGGACCAAGUCAAGUGACUAGCCACCACCACGUGCUUUGCCUGCCUCUGUGGUGAAGGUAGGGUACUGCUGUGACACGUCACUAUCGGUGACUAGAACUUGUCAAAUGGUAUCACUUGGUCCCGGAGUGUAAGGAGGGAGAGUUGAUGGAGGUCUCCAAAGCAAGAAGACAUAGAAAUACCUGGUGGCCAGCACUGAGAGCUGCACGAUCUUAUAAUCAGAAGCCUCACAUAGCGUCUCUUUGUAAAUCUCUGAAGCUGCUCGUAUGGGAGGUGCGUUGGGAGAAGCGUACAGCCAUUUGCUCAUAAACAUGGAGUAUUUAUUGGCAUGGGCUGGAUACUAAUUAAGAAAGAUUUCAUUAAGGGAACAAAUCAAGACAAACAUUUUCGAUGAAUCGAAGUGAUGGAGGAGGCAGAAGAUGUUCUAGACAAAGGAUGCACGUGAAGGUGAAACAAAAGAAAACAUAGAGGAUAAAGAACCAGAAUUGAAAAUUCAGGGAGAGCGGAACCUGAAGACACUGGGAAGCAAAAUCAAACAAAACCCAAAAACUCAAGCAAAAUAACAAUUAAGUAAACAACAACAGCAGCAAAAACAGUGGAAGACUUUGAAUCAUGGGACAUUAUCUCAGUAAAUGCCAGCAAAUCAGGAGAGACUGGUGAUGGAAAAAUCUUAAAUAUAAUUUGCUGUGUUGUAUUUA